UAAUAAGCGGAGGAAAAGAAACUAACAAGGAUUCCCUCAGUAACGGCGAGUGAAGCGGAAGAGCUCAAAUUUGAAAUCUCCGUUUGCCUCGACGGCAGCUUGUAAUCUGGAGAGGCGCUUUCUCGGCGCGCCGGGCCCGCACAAGUUGCUUGGAACAGUGCGUCGCGGAGGGUGACAACCCGUCUAUGGCCGGCCCGGCCCUCACGAUGCGCUUUCGA
rnacentral:rRNA from 1 species